rnacentral:lncRNA from 1 species
CCCCCUUUUGACAAAAAAAAAGAAACAAAACACAUAACGAUAACUGUAUUAAUGAAUGAAAGGAAAAUUAUGAAAGAAAUCGAUAUGACCAAACAGAUAAGUUGUUCAUUUCAAAAACUCAGCGGCCGGUAACAAUAUGCACGAAAUGAAUCUUUUCUCAACUUUAUUAAAGUACGAUGAUCUACGAUGUCAACAAGUCAAUCUCAUGAUGUUGAUGCAGGCCUUAAACUGUUAGUUUACCAAGUAAAGCCUGGUUUGGUAUAACGUUGAUAUGGUUUCAACAUACUGCCUGACUUUCCUGACAUUAAGAUAAACAAAAUUUAUACAAAGUCUACAAAGAAGAAAAGAUUCCAACUUUUACUGACAUUUUACGUUGACAUUUUCGGCGCCGGAAAUUGACAACGUUUAUCUAUGUAUUGACACAACAUCGGAUGGGGUCGAUUCCGGCAUAUUCUGUUAAAAAAAAUCAGUAGCACUUAAAAUUUAAUGAUGUUUUAAAAUAUAUUCAUUUUGUUUCAAUGAUAUUUAGUUGAUAAUUAAUUUAGAGAGAUGAAUAGCUAUCGUGUACUUCAGAAACAAGGGGAAAGGAGGACCACGCCCCCAUAGUGGGGACAUACAAAAUAAAGAUGACCGUUCUCCAUUUCUACUCGAUAGAAGUGCCUAAUUUUUUUAUAACAUCUGUAUUAUGUACCAAAGAUUAUAAAAUGCAAGUAUAAAAAAAAUCGAGGCGGAGAUUUUUUAGAAUCAGCUAAUAAUUAUAGCAGACCAAUAAACGUAAUAGACAAAUAGGCGAAAAUGGCGCCUUCUUCAAUUUCGAAAAAAGGCUAUAAUUUUACAAUUUAUUGACACAUAUUGAUAUUUUUAUAGGGGUUACAUAUAUAAGGAUUCAGCUAUUCUUGAUAGUUGAAUGAAUAUUUACUUUAAAAACAGAAUCUUUCCAAAUUUCUAAUUCUACCGGCCAUGCUAGGAAAAACUUAUAAAAAAUUGAGACCCCUACUUUAAAAUGGGUACAAUUUUUUGCCCUACUUUGGACACCCCUUUUCUUUACGGAUUUCGAUGUGAAAAACUAGCAAAAUUACGAUGUAAAAAAAUCGAGAUAAUUGAAGGAUAGGCUUUUUUUUGUACCCCUUUUUAAUAUCGCUAUUUAAUUCUAUAGUGCAGAAAAUCGAAAUCCGAAAUUC